rnacentral:tRNA from 1 species
GGCGGCGCUGGUUCUGGCCGCCGGCGCGGUGGCGCUGAUGGCGCUGAUGAUCGCGGGCACCUUCCUGUGGCUGUAUUUCGAACGCACGACGCCGCUG